GACGAACGCUGGCGGCGUGCUUAACACAUGCAAGUCGAACGGAAAGGCCUCUUUCGGGGGGUACUCGAGUGGCGAACGGGUGAGUAACACGUGAGUAACCUGCCCUUGACUUUGGGAUAACUUCAGGAAACUGGGGCUAAUACCGGAUAGGAGCUCCUGCUGCAUGGUGGGGGUUGGAAAGUUUCGGCGGUUGGGGAUGGACUCGCGGCUUAUCAGCUUGUUGGUGGGGUAGUGGCUUACCAAGGCUUUGACGGGUAGCCGGCCUGAGAGGGUGACCGGCCACAUUGGGACUGAGAUACGGCCCAGACUCCUACGGGAGGCAGCAGUGGGGAAUAUUGCACAAUGGGUGGAAGCCUGAUGCAGCAACGCCGUGUGCGGGAUGACGGCCUUCGGGUUGUAAACCGCUUUCGCUCAUGACGAAGCUUUGUGUGACGUUAGUGGGUAAAGAAGCACCGGCUAACUACGUG
rnacentral:rRNA from 1 species